rnacentral:rRNA from 1 species
UACCCUUUGUGAACAUACCUAACCGUUGCUUCGGCGGGCAGGGGAAGCCUCUCGCGGGCCUCCCCUCCCGGCGCCGGCCCCCACCACGGGGACGGGGCGCCCGCCGGAGGAAACCAAACUCUAUUUACACGACGUCUCUUCUGAGUGGCACAAGCAAAUAAUUAAAACUUUUAACAACGGAUCUCUUGGUUCUGGCAUCGAUGAAGAACGCAGCGAAAUGCGAUAAGUAAUGUGAAUUGCAGAAUUCAGUGAAUCAUCGAAUCUUUGAACGCACAUUGCGCUCGCCAGCAUUCUGGCGAGCAUGCCUGUUCGAGCGUCAUUUCAACCCUCAAGCACCGCUUGGUUUUGGGGCCCCACGGCACACGUGGGCCCUUAAAGGUAGUGGCGGACCCUCCCGGAGCCUCCUUUGCGUAGUAACUAACGUCUCGCACUGGGAUUCGGAGGGACUCUUGCCGUAAAACCCCCAAAUUUUUUACAGGUUGACCUCGGAUCAGGUAGGAAUACCCGCUGAA